GGCUGUGUGGGCAAUUUGGUGAUAUGUCACCUCAUUCACUGCCAGGGGUGACUGGGCUGCUCUGGCUAAUGAGGCAGGUGUCCACUUCUUCCUUCACUGCUCUACAUUCAUCCCUUCUGAAUCUGUACACUGUCAAAGAGGACAAUCUUUCCUCAUAUAGGAAGAAAGUUCUCUAGCCAAGGGCAAACAAGUAUUUGCAUUCCCCUGUUAGAAGCUCUUAGAAUAGAUUCUGCUUUCUGAAGAGGAGGAUGCAGAGCUGUGUCUACAUGUGU
ensembl:misc_RNA 7SK 7SK RNA